UGGUAGCGCCCUCCCGAAGGUUAAGCUACCUACUUCUUUUGCAACCCACUCCCAUGGUGUGACGGGCGGUGUGUACAAGGCCCGGGAACGUAUUCACCGUAGCAUUCUGAUCUACGAUUACUAGCGAUUCCGACUUCAUGGAGUCGAGUUGCAGACUCCAAUCCGGACUACGACGCACUUUAUGAGGUCCGCUUGCUCUCGCGAGGUCGCUUCUCUUUGUAUGCGCCAUUGUAGCACGUGUGUAGCCCUACUCGUAAGGGCCAUGAUGACUUGACGUCAUCCCCACCUUCCUCCAGUUUAUCACUGGCAGUCUCCUUUGAGUUCCCGGCCGGACCGCUGGCAACAAAGGAUAAGGGUUGCGCUCGUUGCGGGACUUAACCCAACAUUUCACAACACGAGCUGACGACAGCCAUGCAGCACCUGUCUCACGGUUCCCGAAGGCACCAAAGCAUCUCUGCUAAGUUCCGUGGAUGUCAAGAGUAGGUAAGGUUCUUCGCGUUGCAUCGAAUUAAACCACAUGCUCCACCGCUUGUGCGGGCCCCCGUCAAUUCAUUUGAGUUUUAACCUUGCGGCCGUACUCCCCAGGCGGUCGACUUAACGCGUUAGCUCCGGAAGCCACUCCUCAAGGGAACAGCCUCCAAGUCGACAUCGUUUACGGCGUGGACUACCA
rnacentral:rRNA from 1 species